rnacentral:rRNA from 1 species
GAUGAACGCUGGCGGCGUGCCUAAUACAUGCAAGUCGAACGAAACUUCUUUAUCACCGAGUGCUUGCACUCACCGAUAAAGAGUUGAGUGGCGAACGGGUGAGUAACACGUGGGCAACCUGCCCAAACGAGGGGGAUAACACUUGGAAACAGGUGCUAAUACCGCAUAACCAUAGUUACCGCAUGGUAACUAUGUAAAAGGUGGCUAUACUACCGCUUUUGGAUGGGCCCGCGGCGCAUUAGCUAGUUGGUAGGGUAAAGGCUUACCAAGGCAAUGAUGCGUAGCCGAAUUGAGAGGUUGAUCGGCCACAUUGGGACUGAGACACGGCCCAAACUCCUACGGGAGGCAGCAGUAGGGAAUCUUCCACAAUGGGCGAAAGCCUGAUGGAGCAACGCCGCGUGGGUGAUGAAGGUCUUCGGAUCGUAAAACCCUGUUGUUAGAGAAGAAAGUGCGUGAGAGUAACUGUUCACGUUUCGACGGUAUCUAACCAGAAAGCCACGGCUAACUACGUG